GGGGCUAUAGCUCAGCUGGCUAGAGCGCUUGCAUGGCAUGCAAGAGGUCAGGGGUUCGAAUCCCCUUAGCUCCACCA
rnacentral:tRNA from 1 species